rnacentral:tRNA from 1 species
GUUAGAGUGGCUGAGCUUUAGGCGCUAGUCUGUAAAACUAAUAACGGAUAAUUCCCUCUAAUA